rnacentral:lncRNA from 1 species
GUGCAAAAGUUGAAGAGCAUCCUGCAGAGCAAUCACAAGAAAAAUAAAAUUCAAAGGGAAAAGGGAAACUUGGUCUUGCAGAAGCAGUGACUAGAGAGAGAUUGACACAAGGUAACCCAUCUGGCCAUUCCUUUCACAAAUAAGAUCACCUGAGUUUCUCUUCAGAUUAAGAUAACCGUGAGGUGUUGAAAGGGAGGUGGAAAGGCCAUUAAAAGACAUACUCCAACAGUUCUACUAUUUUUUUCCCUGAGUCUACAAACCAUGCCAGAUCCUUAACAAAGGUAGGUAUUCUUGGAAUUUCAUGAAUGGCACCAUUUGAAAAGCAGAGU